rnacentral:rRNA from 1 species
CGCAUCUGUGCAUGCAGCAUAUCAAUAAGCGGAGGAAAAGGUACCUACGCUUAGGAUGUUGACGCGCGUGUGUGCGUGAGUCUAUACAUGACUCUGCAGCAUAUCAAUAAGCGGAGGAAAAGGAGUAUACCUACGCUUAGGAUGUUGACGCGCGUGUGUGCGUGAUCUAUACGUGACUCUGCAGCAUAUCAAUAAGCGGAGGAAAAGAAACUAACAAGGAUUCCCUUAGUAACGGCGAGUGAAGCGGGAAGAGCUCAAAUUUGAAAUCUUCAAGGUUUUACCUUGACGAAUUGUAGUUUAAAGAAGUGUUUUCUGUUGAAGUUUUGGUAAAAGUUCUUUGGAAUAGGACAUCAUAGAGGGUGAGAAUCCCGUAUUUGACCAUUAUUUUCAGCUGUGUGAUACACUUUCAAAGAGUCGGAUUGUUUGGGAAUGCAGUCCAAAAUGGGUGGUAAAUUCCAUCUAAAGCUAAAUAUUGGCGAGAGACCGAUAGCGAACAAGUACCGUGAGGGAAAGAUGUAAAGAACUUUGAAAAGAGAGUUAAACAGUACGUGAAAUUGUCAAAAGGGAAGCGUUUGACACCAGUGUUGUUUUCUCGAAAAUCAAUUAAAAAGAGUUUGAUUUUGUUGUGUAUUGACCUUAACAGCUUGCAUUUCAAUUUUCUUGCUUUUCUUAAUGCACUUUUCGUUUAACAAGUCAACAUCAGUUUCUUUUGUUGUAAAAAGGUCAUUGGAAGGUGGCUUUCUUUUCGGAGAAAGUGUUUAUAGCCUUUGACUCCUGCAAUCGGAGAGACUGAGGUCUGCAGCGUAGAUCCUUCGGGGUUAGAUACAUUUGUGCUAAGUUAUAGCUUUUUAUAGACAACUUGUUGACUAUGAUUAGUCUUGUAGCUUACUCGCUUAUGCUAUUUUACCUACGCUUAGGAUGUUGACGCGCGUGUGUGCGUG